UAGAUUGAAGCCAGUUGACUAGGGUUUUUAGCUGUUAACUAAAGUUUCGUGGGAUAAAGGCCCACCGAUCUAG
rnacentral:tRNA from 1 species